UGGAAAACUGGAGCACUGCUGCCAUUUGUUAAAUCCCAGAGUAAAAUAAAUGGCAAUAUUGAAAUAAUCGAUUAUUAAUAAUUCAUUAUUGACUGUAAUCCACAUCAGGAGGAAGAGGAGUGAAGAGGAAAGCGGAUGAUGAUUUGCAGAGUGAUUCUGAUGGAGUCAAACCAUACGCUCUGCGGAAACGCAUCAAAGCUGCAGAGACGUCCAGCGAUGAGAACAGCCGCUCAGGUCAGUCUCCCGUUACUCUUCUACAGUUGUAUGAGCAUAUAUAUGUCAGCUUAAAGGCACAGUGCACGACGACACAAAGCAGCAGAGCUUUUAUUAUGCCACAGUCCAGCGCGUCUGGUUCUUCAGCUCGUGAUCACGUGUGCUGUUUUAUCAGACUAAAUACAUGUUGGGCUUCUGUUAUAAUGCUGCUCUGUGCUGUCAAAUAAAACACAAACAUAUUAAAACCUCGCUAAACAAACAGAGCAGAAAUAGAGGAUGUGUGACGUCAUUAGGAUGAACACACACACUGGCUGUGUCUAAAAUCACACGCUUCCAUACUAAAUAGUACAUUAAGACAGUAUGUGAGCCGAGUAGUAUGUCUGACCUCACAGUAUUUGACAAACAGCAUGUGAGAAGUACCCGGAUGACCUACUACUACUGGAGAGAUUCUGAAGUGUGCAUCCAGUGGACACUACACUGUCCCAUAAUGCACUGCGAGAUCAUUCAUGAAUCACUCCUCUAGUGGAUUUUGGAGAUUUUGAUAAUAAAAGUCUCACAUAAUGUGCCUUUAAACCUGUGAAUGAUGCAGUAUUGUGCAAAGUAUUUCUCAGUAGAGCUUCUUGACAAAACAUCUGGAAACUAGUAGCACUGCUGCCAUUUAAACAGAUCCCCAAAUACAAUAAAUGCCAAUUAAUGAAAGAACUGAUCAUUAAUAAUGCAUUGUUGACUGGAAUCCACAGAAGCUCCAAGAGCACUGAAGAGGAAGGCUGGAUGUCUGGAUCAGGACACAGUUGCUGCAAAACGAGUGAAAACAGCCCAGAUCCAACAUGGCGGCAGCAGCAAAACUGCAGCAGAAGACAGAAGCUCAGCUAAAGACAGCAGUUCAGCUAAAGACAGCAGCUCAGCUAAAGACAGCAGCUCAGGAUCUUUACUUGACAGAUAUGUGCUUGGGAAGAAGCUGGGAGAGGGAUACCAUGGCACUGUCUAUCUGGCUACACGGAAAUCUGACGGCCAGAAGGUUGCCAAAAAAUUGUGACUAAAAAGCUUCUGGGAACGCGGUACCCGAUGACACGAAAUAGUUUCACCACGGACACGAAGAGUACGAAUCAAACAGCGACAGUCCACUGUCAAAAUACAUCACCGCGGUCACAGGCAUUAAUAAACGAGCCAGAGUCAUCGAUCACAACAGUGCGCUUGCGUGAUGAGAUCCUGAAUCCUGACUGAAGGAAGCCCGCCGAACAAAAUGUCUGGGCAGCUCCCACACACCGUCUCAGGUUCCAUUUGGAGAAAUAAUAUCUGCUGCUCAAAGCCUGGUGUCGAGGCUCACCAACACCCUAAGAUCACCAGAGAACACAAACCAACUAAGAGAGAUUAGUUCAACACAGAGAGAGAGGACAACAUCAAGUUUCCAGAGCCAGUCAGUUCAGCAAGAAAUGAGGUCAUUUCCUGGGUUUUUCCGAGAGGAGCGUAGAGGGAAAAGCUGUUUUGCACCAUAUAAGGGGCAAUGUAAAAGCUUAUUAAUGUAUUUUUACCUGCUGGACAAACAGCAUGAAAAAACACCAAAAGGAGAGGCAGAAGUACAUCUCACUAUGGCUGGACUUGGAAGACAGCAGUUAAAUGUGCAAGAAAAUUUCCCCCAUUCAGAGGUCUUCCAGAACAUGCCGUCAUCCUUGAUGUGAAAACAAGGUGGAAUAGCUUAUUCCUCAUGGUGGAGCGAUUCCUAGAGCAGUUCUCUGCCUUCCAGGCCACCUCCAUGGACCAUCGUCUUAAGAAAUUAAUGGACAAGGACAGGUAAAAACUCUGUUCUCAUUUUAAAUGCUUAUUCAAUUUUCAGUGUAAACGAUUUUGCUCAUGAAUCUAUAGUCCAGCUAAUGAAUCUGAUCAUAUUUUACAGACUGCAGAGAAUUUCUGAUGAGGAUUUUAGAAAAGCAGAAGAGUUUGUCAAAAUUACAAAGAUACUUUACACUUCAACCCUCUGCGUCUCUGCUGAAAGGAGCCAAAACUUGGGUCAGAUUCUGCCUAUCUUAAAUAAGCUCCAGCACCACUUCACAGUGAAUAAAGAGGACUCCUCCUUCACAAAGACCAUCAAGGACCCUAUCUGGAUUGACCUCUCAAAAAGAUACCAGGGGUGCAGUGUAAUCCUGCUGAAUUUGCUCUUGUUUUCAUUAGAAUUAUUCAGUGAUUGACUCAGUGUUUUUGUCUUGAAUAUCAGAUGGAGGAGGGCACAGCCUUGCAUCCCAGAUUCAAGUCAAAAGUGACAAAUGAAGUGUGGACCAGACUGAAGGAGGAGCUAAUGAAAAGGACCUUAGAACAGCGGACUCCAGCAGUUGACCGAUCCUUCACCAGAACUCUCACUCAAACUCACAUUCUCCCUGGAGCACCAGAGCACCUAUCCACUGAAGAGCACCAUAUUCAUCUCAUUUCACGUACUUCACUAUAUAAAUAAAUCACCCUCCGGAGACCUGUUUGUAACACCAACGCUUUGUUAGGAGGAAGAGGAGUGAAGAGGAAAGCGGAGGAUGAUUUUCACAGUAUUUUAGGUGAAGGCAAACCAUACGCUCUGCGGAAACGCAUCAGAGUUGCAGAGCUGGAGAACACAAGAGACACAGAGAUGAGCAGCUAUCAAGAGAAAACCAGCUCAGGUGUGUCUCCAUCAAAACUUGUACAGCUUCAGCACCAUACAUUUAUCACCACUGAAGAUUCUGAAACAUGAAGCAGGGUGCAAAGUGUUUCACUCAGUUAGCUGCUAAAUCCAGUGAGCAUGCGGAGAUUUUGGCCACUAGGCAACAAUACAGUGUCUGGAUCAAAGUGAUUGAUUUAUCUAUUAUGGCCAAAAUCAAUACAAUAUUAUAUUAUGAUCAUGCUCCAUCAAGUUGAACACUUUCUACUGUAAACAUGUCAGAACUCAGAUGUUGAUUUGAACUUAAUUCGGGCACUUUAAAGGGGAUUUUCUCAAUCUUUAUAUUCUGAAGAGUGUAUUGUUCAUUGUGUUGUCAUCCACAUUAGGAGGAAGAGGAGUGAAGCGGAAAGCGGAUGAUGAUUUUCACAGUGUUUUAGGUGAAGGUAAACCUUAUGCACUGCGCAAACGCAUCAAAGUUGCUGAGCUGGAGAACACAAGAGUGGACGCCGACACAGAGGCGUCCAGCUCAGGUCAGUCCACUCUUUAUGACUGGAGAAAUACUGGAAAACUGGAGCACUGCUGCCAUUCGUUAAAUCCCAGAGUAAAAUAAAUGCCAAUUAAUGAAAUAAUCGAUUAUUAAUAAUUCAUUAUUGACUGUAAUCCACAUCAGGAGGAAGAGGAGUGAAGAGGAAAGCGGAUGAUGAUUUUCACAGUGUUUUAGGUGAAGGUAAACCUUAUGCACUGCGGAAACGCAUCAGAGCUGCUGAGACGUCCAGCGAUGAGAACAGCAGCUCAGGUCAGUCUCCCGUUACAGAAUCACACUUUUCUACAGUUUCAUCACUUAAAAUUCAUAAUACAGAGGCAAGCUGCAAAGUAUUUUAAUCAGUUAGCUGCUAAAGCAAUGGCAGAAAUACACGGUAUGUGUGAAAAUUAUCCACUUUUAUUUGUGCCAAAAAAAUCAUUCAAAUAGGGCGACGCGGUGGUGCUGUGGGUAGCAUGUUCUCCUCACAGAUAGAAGGUCGCUGGUUUGAACCUCGGCUGGGUCAGUUGGUGUUUCUGUGUGGAGUUUGCAUGUUCUCCCCAUGUUGGCAUGGGUUCCCCCACAGUCCAAACUAUUUUCUACAAUGUAGAUUGUGUCAAAGCAGCUUAACAUAGAAGUUGUAGUAAAUUGAAACUGUGUCAGUCCAGUUUUCAGAGUUGAAAACAAACGUGAAAAAGCUUCAUUACUGGCAUAAAAAAUAAAUGAUUCUUAAGAUUAGGAGUGUAUUGUUCAUUGUGUUGUCAUCCACAUUAGGAGGAAGAGGAGUGAAGCGGAAAGCAGAUGAUGCUUUUCAGAGUGU